rnacentral:rRNA from 1 species
AGGGAAUCUUCGGCAAUGGGGGCAACCCUGACCGAGCAACGCCGCGUGAGUGAAGAAGGUUUUCGGAUCGUAAAGCUCUGUUGUAAGAGAAGAACGUGUGUGAGAGUGGAAAGUUCACACAGUGACGGUAACUUACCAGAAAGGGACGGCUAACUACGUGCCAGCAGCCGCGGUAAUACGUAGGUCCCGAGCGUUAUCCGGAUUUAUUGGGCGUAAAGCGAGCGCAGGCGGUUGGAUAAGUCUGAAGUUAAAGGCUGUGGCUUAACCAUAGUAUGCUUUGGAAACUGUUCAACUUGAGUGCAGAAGGGGAGAGUGGAAUUCCAUGUGUAGCGGUGGAAUGCGUAGAUAUAUGGAGGAACACCGGUGGCGAAAGCGGCUCUCUGGUCUGUAACUGACGCUGAGGCUCGAAAGCGUGGGUAGCGAACAGG